rnacentral:rRNA from 1 species
UACGUAGGUGGCGAGCGUUGUCCGGAAUUAUUGGGCGUAAAGAGCGCGUAGGCGGGAUAGUAAGUCUGUUGUUAAAUUGCGGGGCUCAACUCCGUAUUGCAAUGGAAACUGUUAUUCUUGAGUGCAGGAGAGGAAAGUGGAAUUCCAAGUGUAGCGGUGAAAUGCGUAGAUAUUUGGAGGAACACCAGUGGCGAAGGCGACUUUCUGGACUGUGUCUGACGCUGAGGCGCGAAAGCUAGGGGAGCGAACGGGAUUAGAAACCCGGGUAGU